UUAAAAUUUUCAAUCGAGCAAUUUGGUCACCGAUAUCCCGAAGCCUGCCUACGGAGAUGGCCGAGUUGUCACGAUCGUCCCUCGUUGCCCAACUUCCCGGCUUGACUCGGAAUAGGGUCGGCCAUUUUGAUAAUAUUUAUGGAGUAGCAGAACAGAAUUUGAGAUGACCUUGCCUGGAAGGAAAGCAUCACAAAAAGAUACUGCCCUUCACUGGGGUGGGAAAAAAGAUCCAAAAGGCUUUGCAAUAAAAUUUUAUGGUUUUAAAGAUGAACAACCAGCAGACGCAGAAUCCUCCAACUGGUAUACUAUCAAGUGAAGUGACUCAGACUUACCCUGCAGACCAACUAGCAGAAGAAGUAUCCUCCAAAAUGGUAUACUAUUGAGUGAAGCGCCCACACUUACCCUGCAGGGCAACAAGCAGAAUCAGUAUCCUCCAAACCUGUAUAUGAUUGAGUGAAGUGACCCAGACCUACCCCGCAGAGCAACCAGCAGAAGCAGAAUCCUCCAAAAUGGUAUACGAUGGAGUGAAGCGAUCCAGAAUUACCCAGUCC